rnacentral:rRNA from 1 species
UACGAAGGGUGCAAGCGUUACUCGGAAUUACUGGGCGUAAAGCGUGCGUAGGUGGUUUGUUAAGUCUGAUGUGAAAGCCCUGGGCUCAACCUGGGAAUUGCAUUGGAUACUGGCAGGCUAGAGUGCGGUAGAGGAUGGCGGAAUUCCCGGUGUAGCAGUGAAAUGCGUAGAGAUCGGGAGGAACAUCUGUGGCGAAGGCG